rnacentral:rRNA from 1 species
GACGAACGCUGGCGGCGUGCUUAACACAUGCAAGUCGAGCGGUAAGGCCCUUUCGGGGGUACGACGAGCGGCGAACGGGUGAGUAACACGUGGGUGGACCUGCCUUUAGUCUCUGGGAGUAAGCCUGGGAAACGUAGGGUCGUAAUACCGGAUAUGACUCCGCGGUGCAUGCUGUGGGGUGGAAAGCCUUGUGCGGCUGGAGAUGGGCCCGCGGCCUAUCAGCUUGUUGGUGGGGUGAUGGCCUACCAAGGCGACGACGGGUAGCCGGCCUGAGAGGGCGACCGGCCACACUGGGACUGAGACACGGGCCCAGACUCCUACGGGAGGCAGCAGGUGGGGAAUCUUGCGCAAUGGGCGAAAGCCUGACGCAGCGACGCCGCGUGAGGGAUGACGGCCU